rnacentral:lncRNA from 11 species
AAGAUAGACAGGAAGGAAAUGUUUUCGGGGGGGUUGAGAAACAAGACUAGAAGCAGAAUUACAAAUCUAGCAGGCAAUCUCCUUUAGAGGUUCAGUCUGUUUGGAAACUAAGAGAUGACCAAGCAGAAAGAGAAAAAGUAUCACCAAUACAUUUUCAAACAACUUAAAGGUCAUGCAAUGGGUCCACUCAGACUGCAGAUUAGAAACAAACAUGGAAGGAAUUUAGCAGCCUUGACAUUAGGAGCAUGGUGAAGGAGAGCUGGAGAAACAGAUUUUUGGAGUAAGAUUGCAAUAGCAUGUCUGUAGUAAAAUAUGCAAUGCAGCUUAAGGUUGGACAAAAUGGAAUUGUUCUCUUGUCAAUCAUACUGUAUCUGGGUGUAUCUGCCUACAACAGCCAAAGUAAACAGCAGAUCCAUUUACUGAGCAUGUCUUUAGAUAUAUUAGAUGACAGCCAAUAACUCGUUAUCAAAUAAGAAUUCAGAAGAGGAUAUACAUGAAGUGUUUCAGAG